UACGAAGGGGGCUAGCGUUGCUCGGAAUCACUGGGCGUAAAGGGUGCGUAGGCGGUUCGUUAAGUCUGUUGUGAAAGCCCCGGGCUCAACCUGGGAAUGGCAAUGGAUACUGGCGAGCUAGAGUGUGUCAGAGGAUCGCGGAAUUCCCGGGUGUAGAGGUGAAAUUCGUAGAUAUCGGGAGGAACACCAGUGGCGAAGGCGGCGAUCGUGGGAAGAUACUGACGCUGAGGUGCGAAAGCGUGGGGAGCAAACAGG
rnacentral:rRNA from 1 species